AGAUCUAUGUCCUUGGAUGUAGUAAACAAUGGUCGAAUAUGAGGCUUGAUACCCAAAUUUGACGCAGGGACCAAUUAAAAUUGUUGUCUUACGAUUUAAAGAUAUACGAAAAAAAAUAGAUAAAAGUUAACAGAAUUGUAGAAUGGGAGGGGGAAGGGAAAGUUGGCUUCCGCCAGGAAUCACAGAAGAGGGGAGGAGAAGUUUGAUUCCGCCAGAUUCAAAGGUCGUUGGAAGAAAGAAAAAUCUCGUUUCUCUUAUUUCAAUAAUCAUAAUCCAUUUUCAUCGUAACAAACAAAAAACUCUUAAAUAGAAUAAAAACUAAUACGAUUGAAACUACUAAAAUUUAAAAUAAGAUUCCUAACCAUACUAAAACUCCUAAUAAAACUAAUUUUAUUUGAUAAAUACUAAAAUUUAAAAUAAGACUCCUAACAUACUUAAAAACUCCUAAUUAAAUAAAAUUCGAUUUGAUAACUUCGAAAAAUUUAAAUAAGACUCCUAAUAUACUAAAACUCCUAAUUAAAUAAAAUUCUAAUUUAAUUAAAAUAAAAACAACUGAUUACAAAAAAUUAAAAAAAUACAAGAAUUAAUAAAUAAAUAAAUACAAUUUUAUCCCGCAUCAAUAAGGAUAUGAAGUUCCAUUCAAGUUAGCACCGAUAAGAUUUUUGGCUGCUAACAGCUCCAACUGAAACACAAAGCAAAUACUUUUACUUGGCACUGAAACGUACUUCCGAAGAUGGCCCACUACACGAAUGAAGAACAUUUGACAAAACAUGACUCUUUACAAACCAAUAGUACAUUUUUUCUCGAAAACAACAGUAACUGAACCAGACACACUGGCACACUGCAAUGCCAACCUCACAAUAGGGACAGUGAUAUGUUUAAAAGAUCAAGAAAUACCUUGAUCAUAUAAGCAAAAGUUUUUAUGGUCUCGUUUCAGCUGGCCAAUCUACAAAAUGAGUGCAGAAUUGCACAUCAGACAAGUGGAUAAUUACUCCAUGAAUCCAGAACAAGCAAAACUAAAAUGCAAUGCAAAUAAGAGAUCCAAUCUAAUGAGUGAAGGUACUAGUAAUACAAGUAUCAUCUAUUAAAAAAAAAAAUUUAAGGCAAAAUUUAUAAUACAUAAGAUGCCAGUAAGCAUGUUGCUCAGUUUGUAAGACUAAACCUCCCUAUGAGAUAAAUACAAAGUGCACAACUUGGACUCAAACCAGAAAAGGUUAUAUCAACCAAACAAAACCUAUUCCGAUUUUUUGAAGUAUGUCCUCACAUCGCCUUUUCCACCGCAUAAACCACCUUCCGCCCUUUUUUCCUCAUAUUUUUCGUUUUUUCUGCUUUCCCUUCAGUUUUUUACCUAUGUGUGGGGUGUAUAUUUUACACACACACACACAUCUGAGAAUAGAGUGUAGUAUGUAACAACAGAGACUUCAAAAACUAAAAAUAUGAACACACAUUGAAAAUUUAAUUACUAGGCAUCUAACACAUCAGAACUAAACAGAAUAUACUGUCUCACAUGGAAAAUAAGAUUCUUCCAUUUUCCCAUUUAUGCGAUUUUUCCCAUAAAUAAUUUCUUACUUUUUACACCAGUAAUGCUAAAGGGUAUCACUAUUACAAAACAAAUCUCAUACUACAGUUAAGUAGAGCAUCUGUUUUCAUGCACUCCAAUACUUUUCAGAGGAGUCCAUCAAUGCAAUCAAAAGAGUAAAAACUUAUUGCCAAAUGGAUGUCUUACUCCAGAACUGCAUGCUGGCAUACCAGCCCAUUUUUCUGGAAUGCAGAAUCUUCUGCGACGAAGCCAGGAUGCCAUUUGACACUUUGAAGGUGUCCAGGCACAUUUACAAUCAGGGCUGGCUUAAGACAAUAGGAGGCCUCAAGCGAAAACAUAAGAUGAGAGAGAGAGAGAGAGAGAGAGAGAGAGAGAGAGGGAGGGAGGGAGGGAGGGAGGGAGGGAGAGCUAACAAGGGUCAGGUCUAUGCAAAGAGAGAUGAUUAAGUUGGCAAAGUAGGUAGAGAAAGAUACGGUAUUGCAAAGAGAGAAAGAAAUAGUGACUUAAUUUGACAUUUCAAUUUAUGAAGAGAGACUAGUGGAUAUCUCCUAUUUGGGGGAAUUGAUGCACACUCAAUUUUUUUUGUAAAAAAUGUAGUGUAAAAAUCAUUCUUCUUCCAUAAUUAAAAUUUAUUUUGGACCAUGAUUUUUUAUUAAUGGACCUUUUAAGCUUUUUUAUUGAAAAAAAAUUUGGUCAUUCUUUUUAACUAACAAAAUAUUUUUAAUUAUAUGGAUCUAUCUAUACCAUUUCUAUAAAAAUUUAGGGACUUCUAAAAUUAGGAGCCUAAAGCGGUGGCUUUACUGGAUUUAUACAUAUAAGGUGAGGCUUCUCAUUUUUCCCUUCUCAUCUUGAUAAGAAAGGCACAAAUGGUACCAUUUCCAAGGUGCAGACAAUAUUAUAAGAAAGUACCCACCAAUCAAGUUAACCUAAAAAUGAAAUAGAUUCUUCCUUAUUUCAACU
rnacentral:lncRNA from 1 species